CGGUGCCAGCAGCCGCGGUAAUUCCAGCUCCAAUAGCGUAUAUUAAAGUUGUUGCAGUUAAAAAGCUCGUAGUUGAAUUUCGGGAUCAACAUGUCGGUCGUGCCUCCGGUACGUACUGGCAUCGUUGGUUUCUACCUUCUGACAAACCAUGAUGUCAUUAAUUUGGUGUCAUGGGGAAUCAGGACUGUUACUUUGAAAAAAUUAGAGUGUUUAAAGCAGGCACACGCUUGAAUACAUUAGCAUGGAAUAAUGAAAUAGGACGUUUGACCCUAUUUUGUUGGUUUCUAGGAUCGACGUAAUGAUUAAUAGGGAUAGUUGGGGGCAUUAGUAUUCAAUUGUCAGAGGUGAAAUUCUUGGAUUUAUUGAAGACUAACUACUGCGAAAGCAUUUGCCAAGGAUGUUUUCAUUAAUCAAGAACGAAAGUUAGGGGAUCGAAGACGAUCAGAUACCGUCGUAGUCUUAACCAUAAACUAUGCCGACUAGGGAUCGGAUGAUGUUAAUUUUUUAAUGACUCAUUCGGCGCCUUACG
rnacentral:rRNA from 1 species